rnacentral:lncRNA from 1 species
AUCAAUUGAAUAGUUGGAUAUUAAAUAUUAUUCUAAGAACUUUUAAUUAAAUAGAUCCCAUAAAAAAAACAUAAAAUCUACCCUUGGCCAAAACGAUUCUACACAUAAUAUUUUUACUAAACACACAUUAUAUUUCUGGAAGUAAUGUACGGUUGAAACCAUCUUAUUCCGGUCCUACAAACAUUACAAAUUCUUAAACAUUAGGAUGAGAGAAACCCCAUCUUAGUAUCUACAAAAAGUUUUAAAAAAAACACAAAACUGAGUGUAAUUUGUAAUCCUAAAUGAAAUGCAACGAAGAACUGCUACUACAGAAAACCACUUACCAUGUAAAAACCUACCAUAUACUAUGGAGUGACACCAAUUGGUACUUGAGAAUCAGUUUCGAUGAAUCCCUAACUAAAAGUCAACAAAACAAAACUCUAUUUUCCAGAGACCUGUAUAGAGAGUUAACUGAUAAAAAUUGGACAGAGUGCUCAAUGGAAUUAAAGUUCAAAAGAGAGGUAGUAAUA